rnacentral:tRNA from 1 species
GCGGAUGUAGCUCAGCGGCAGAGCGCCGUCCCACCCGGAUGGAGACGAUGGUUCGAACCCAUCCGUCCGCUCCA